UUUUAUAACAUUAUCUAUACAUAUAAUAAAAUCGUAGAAAAGUGCUGUCUGUACAUUGAAAAUAAAAAUAAAAAAAAUAGCAGGGGUUAUUGUUAUGUCGAUGUCGAACCCAAAAAUGUAAUUAACUUUUUUUUUGUCUGUUUGUCUGUUUGUCUGUUUGUCUGUUUGUCUGUUUGUCUGUUUGUCUGUUUGUCUGUUCGUCUGUGCGCGCUAAUCUCAGAAACGGCUGAUCCGAGUUGGAUGCGGUUUUCACGAAUAUAUUGUGGGAUGCUUAAAUUUACAUUUAGUGUUUGUUUCAUGUCAAUCGGUUCAUAAAUAAAAAAGUUAUGUCAAAUUAAAGAAUCACGUCGAACAUUCUAUGCUUAUACCAUUAAUCUCCGCAACUAUUUGACGGAUUUGGUUGAAAUUUGGUACAGAUAUAGUUUAGAACCUUAGAAAGGACAUAGAUAUAUUUUUAUUUCAAAAAUCAAAAAAUAAAAAUAAGAAAUAAAUUAUUUAUAAAUAAUUCUAUGUCGAUCGUUACACGACUUCGGUUCAUGUUAUUGUUUUAAUUCAUCGAAAAAAAGUAAAUAAAUAGUAAAAAGGUAUGAAAAAAAUAAUAUCAAUAUAAUAAAACAUUUAGUACAAAGAAAAUGCUCUAACGGAGUAUAGAUAAUUCUAUGUCGAUCGUUACACGACUUCGGUUCAUGUUAUUGUUUUAAUUCAUCGAAAAAAAGAAAAUAAAUAGUAAAAAGGUAUGAAAAAAAUAAUAUCAAUAUAAUUAAAAUUUUAGUACAAAGAAAAUGCCCGAACGGAGUAUAAAUAAAUAAUCCAAAUUGUCUUUAUCCUCGAUAGAUCGAAAUAGAUCGCGCUAUGGUUUCGUUACAUUCAUUUGGUUGGGUAUCGGCCGAGCGCUUCGGUACUAUCGUAGAAAAAGUGUAUUAUCAGUCGUAUGAUUAUUUGUCUGUAGUGGUCCUGCUGUUUCGUAUAUUCUAAAUUGGUUUCGUUGUAUUUGUCAAUUAAUAAGUUUAUUUGUUGGGUUUUCCUGGUUUUUUGGUUAAACUAUUUAACGUAGGUUUAGUUUGAUAUCGAUUAUUAGUAGUUACUGUAGUUAGUUUUUUUAAUAAAAUUGUAAGUCUAAUUUUUUUUUUAAUUAGAUUAGAUUUAAGUCGUUUCUUUUAAAUUAUUUAGUUUAAGCUUGGUUAUUAUAGCAUAGAGGAUAGGUUGUAAUAAAGUUUCUUUUUUAAUUGUUAUAAAUUCGUAAUUCGUAGCUUUCUUUAGUUUUAAGUUAGUUUAAGUCCGUUUUUAAACUAUUUUUUCAAUGCCCUAAGUGAGUAUACAUCUAUUAAAUUCAAACGCAGAGCUCAUUAUGUUGAUUUUUGCAGAGUUCCCUGGAAUAUCUUCCAUAUCUCAUUUUUGAAGAGAUCCCGCGAGAUCGGGAACUAUGUGGUUAAAACCAAAAAUUUGCCGGAAGUCACUAUUCCACGCGAACGAAGUCGCGGGCAAAAGCU